ACUUCAUGUAGUGGAUCACUUGGUUCACACUUCGAUGAAGAGUGCUGCAAAACGUGAUAUUUAUUGCGAAUUGCACACUGCUUCGAACAUCGAAAUCUUGAACGCACAUGUCAGUCUUAGUGAAAGCUUAGACUACGUUUGCUCGAGUGCUG
rnacentral:rRNA from 1 species